UGAGAAGGCAGCCAAGCUCCAGGCAAAC
rnacentral:piRNA from 1 species